rnacentral:piRNA from 6 species
GUACGUAGCAGAGCAGCUCCCUCG